AGUUCCUCGGCGCUUCAUUGGAGGACCCCCCGCGAGGCUUUGGCGCCGACUGCCCCGCUGGACGGCGGGUAGCAGCCGCAGGCCCGGGAGCCAGGGCUGGGAGGGCGCGUCUGGGAGGGCGCGUCCCCAAACUUUCUCCCAGUAUUUAUUUACGCAGAGCAGCGAGCCACGCGCACAGCCCUUCAUGCAAGUCCAAGUCCGGAUGGAUGGACAAGGAGGCAGCUGCCCACACAGGGGACCUCAAGGAGCACAAUCUGGAAAGAGCCGAAGCAGGACGUGGCAUUCCUAUGGCCCUUACCAUCCUGAACGUCAAGCCAGCAUCUGCCACAUGCUGCCUUCUACAGGUCAUGGGCUCUGUUCGUCAGCUUCUCACAGUGUCCCCGGGCCGGGGGCCUGUGGACACCAGGCACUGCAGGCCAUGGCUUAGCCCUCCGUGCACCCUCAGGACACCCAACUCAGCAGAAUUGCUGCUGUUUAAAAGAGGCCGGGAGCUGGAUUUGCUGAGUUCCAAUGGCCUCCGGGGCAUCUGGUUGCUGAAGUCAGAAGAGGUUUGCCUUUCUGGUCUCAGAGACCUAAGGGAUCAAGGCUCAGCUUCAGGCAAGAUCAUCUCAUGCUUGAUUGCCAGAAUUCCUGGGCCCCAAUAUGGAUACGAUUUCAGGGCUUCUUUCCACCGCAGGCCUGAUCAGCAAAUGCUCCCAGCUGAGUGUUCAGGAACCUUCACCACAUUAACAAAGCCCAUGAUAGGUUGGCUUGUACACAUUGGGCCUCAAAUAUUUUUGCUGCAUAAACGAUCAAGUCAUUCAGGCAAACAGUAACCUCCAGGUCAGUUUCAAGGGCACCAAAAAGGCUUCUUCCCCAACGUUUCACCUACCUGUCCUCCCCACAGUCCUUAGAGAGUCUGGUCUGGGGCAGGUGCCUGUUAACAUGCAAAUGUGUCUGAAGAUAAUACGGAAACUAUAGUCUCUGUGGUCUCCCAGCUCAAAUUAGUUUCUUAUCUCCCUUUCCCUGCGGUGGGAGGGGCGUGGGAGGGGCUGUCAGGGAAUCGAGGGAGGGCGCAGAGGCGCUGUCUGCCCAGGUUAGUGUGGGAGGUGCCCUGGAGAAACUUCAUUGACAUCCAGCUUUUCCCAAACAGGGGAACCAGUUCCUGGUGAUUAAGACAUUGGGGCCUGAGGGAUGUCCUGAGAGAGCAGAAGGUCACAGAGCACAGAGAAAAGAGCAAGGUGAGGACAUCCAAGGGACUGUCUGUGGUCUGGAGGUAAGCCCGGAUCAGACCAGACUGGAGCUCCAGGCUCAGGGCUCUCUUCCCUGUGCUAUGGGUCACAGUUGCACACAGGCCGGGGCCACUGUUUCCAGAUUUACUGAGUGUCUACUGUGGUGCCGGGGACAAAGCUGGAUACUGGCGACACACAGUGGGGAGCUGACAGCUGAAUGGGGAGGACACCCAGCCAUUAGAUGGCUAUGAAGUCACGUACUUAUGACUAUGAGUUAUAUUAGGAAGAUAUGUGGGGUCUGGGAAGGGAAGGAACAAUCUGAAGGCCCCCACUGAGUGGAGGGAUCAGGGAUGCCUCUGGGCAGAGGACGGAAGUAGAGAUCUCCUGUCAGGAUGGGGUCAGGGAGUGCUGGGGGCAGAGUGAGCAGGGCAAGGAGCUCAGGGGCUGGGGCCUGCCCUCUACUGGGUUAA